AGAGUUUGAUCCUAGCUCAGGAUGAACGCUGGCGGCGUGGAUAAGGCAUGCAAGUCGAGGGGGCGCAACAUAAAGGCCGGUAUGAAGUAUAAAGUAUGAAGUAUAAAGUAUGAGAUGCAAGAAUUUUGUAUCUAUACUUAAUACCUUAUACCCCAUACCUUAUACUUGCCUUUAUGUUGCGUCACCGGCAGACGAGGUAGUAACACGUAGGAACGAACCGCGAAGUCAGGGACAACCCAUCGAAAGAUGGGCUAAUACUUGAUAGUCUCGUAAGAGUAAAGAUUUAUCGCUUCGUGAUCGGCCUGCGGAAUAUCAGCUAGUUGGCGGUGUAAUAGACCACCAAGGCUAUGACGUUUAGGAGAGCUGAGAGGCUGACCUCCACCGAUGGGACUGCGACACGGCCCAUACACCUACGGGUGGCUGCAGUCGAGAAUCUUCCACAAUGGACGAAAGUCUGAUGGAGCGACACCGCGUGACUGAUGAAGUCUUUCGGGAUGUAAAGGUCUUUUAUGAGGGAUGACAUAGCGACAGUACCUCAUGAAUAAGGGGCUGCUAAUCACGUGCCAGCAGCAGCGGUAAAACGUGAGCCCCGAGCGUUAUCCGGAAUUACUGGGCGUAAAGAGUGCGUAGGCGGUCGUGUUAGUCUCUUGCUAAAUCCAUCGGCUCAACCGGUGAACUCCAAGGGAAACGGCACGACUAGAGUGUGUGAGAGGUAUGCGGAACUUAUCAUGUAGGGGUGAAAUCCGUUGAUAUGAUGGGGAACACCAAAUGCGAAGGCAGCAUACUGGCGCAUCACUGACGCUGAGGCACGAAAGCGUAGGUAGCGAAUGGGAUUAGAUACCCCAGUAGUCUACGCUGUAAACGAUGAUCUCUCGCUUUUCGGAGUAUCGACCCUCUGAGAGGCUAAGCUAACGCGUUAAGAGAUCCGCCUGGGUAGUACGAUCGCAAGAUUAAAACUCAAAGGAAUAGACGGGGACUUGCACAAGCGGUGGAUUAUGUGGUUUAAUUCGAUGGUACACGAAAAACCUUA
rnacentral:rRNA from 1 species